UGGAUGGCUUAUAUCCAUCGAGGGACAUGUCGUGAUGGGCCCACACCCUUUCUUUUUACACGGAGUAGCUGCUUUCUUCAGCAGCUAUUACGUCUUUAACCUUGAGUAUCCUGCCGCUGGAUCGUCGACGCUGGAGUUCAUUCAAAGGUGCUUCCUGGGCAUCAAUCCUGAAAGAGGCUCAAAGACCAAGAAGCGGACAACAAUGAACCCUCAUGUGAGCACCCUUUGGAGGAAACUUAUUGACUUUGAGUGGGCAUCAUAGUUUUUGUUUUUUGCAGCGGUAGUUGUCAGGCUCAGUUUUGAGUAGCCUUGUUCUUUUUGUAAUUUUUCAAGACAACUUUGCACUACAAGAUUUUUACACAAUGCUGUUGCAUGUGGACUCAUUAUAAUGUUUGAGACUGAGAGGAGCGCCUGACCCCUUUAAGACAUUCCUUCAUCGCUCUCUCCCUUGCUCUCUUAUCUUGCCAUGAAGGCCUCAUUCCCAUCCUGUCCAUUACUGUUAUUGUGACACAGCUAGUUGAAUAGUUGAAUUGUGAAACAGGUAGUUGAAUUGCAAGUUUGCACAAUUUCUCUGCAUUUUCAGAUGGCUUUUAUGACUAGAAAGUUGAAUUUCUUGAACUCUUGAAGUUCUUGGCAUCUGCUGCACAUUGAAAAAUAUUUAUUUGUUAAUAAAUAUGCCAUUGGGCUAACAUUGAA